rnacentral:sRNA from 1 species
UUUGGGUGUGCUGGUGCACACCUGUAAUCCCAGUGGCUUGGGAGGCUGAGGCAGGAGGAUCACAAGUUCAAAGCCAGCCUCAGCAACUUAUCGAGGUCCUAAGAAACUUAGCCAGACCCUGUCUCAA